GGGUUAAGUCCCGCAACGAGCGCAACCUUUAUCUUUAGUUGCCAGCAUUCAGUUGGGCAUUCUAGAGAGACUGCCGUCGACAAGACGGAGGAAGGCGGGGANGACGUCAAAUCAUCAUGCCCCUUAUGACNUGGGANACACACGUGNUACAAUGGUUGGUACAACGGGAUGUUACCUCGCGAGGGACGCCAAUCUCUUAAAACCAAUCUCAGUUCGGAUUGUAGGCUGCAANUCGCNNACAUGAAGUCGGAAUCGCUAGUAAUCGCGGAUCAGCAUGCCGCGGUGAAUACGUUCCCGGGCCUUGUACACACCGCCGGUCACACCACGGGAGUUUGCAACACCCGAAGUCGGUGAGGUAACCGCAAGGAGCCAGCCGCCGAAGGUGNGUAGAUGACUGGGAGC
rnacentral:rRNA from 1 species